GGCCCACACCCCUGGGGAGGUCGUGCCAACUCAAGCCUGACCAGAGAGUCAGGCCACCUUUCUCCAGAGUGGCCAGGACAGCUCAGCCAGGGGCCCUCACACAAGACAACCUCUGCUUUGCCACUGUACUCCACGCGCUUCGGAUGCCCAGGAGCUGCUGUGAUGCCCAGGUAAACACCACAGGAGACUGUGUCUGAUGAGCCGCUGCUGGGGAGGGGCUUCCCUGGCAGGGUGGAGUCCUGGGCCAAUUGUCAGCUCUGAACAGAACUGGGUGUGGUGGCUGGUUCACACCUAUAACCUCAGAACUCAGGAGGUGGAGGCCAAAGGCUCGAAAGUUCCAAGUCCAAGGCUACACAGUGAGUUUCAGACCAGCUGGGCUCCAGGAGCCCUGCCUCAAACUAACAGCAAAAAUGACCAGGACAAUUCCAGUCCACUCGGCACCCAUGGUGGUUUUCUUAUAAGUAACUGCCGUGAGAAUCAACGCUGAGAGGGACAGACGACAUCUUUGUUAUUACGAACAGGAAGAAGGCUUUGGGACACGGUCCAGUGAGAGAGUACCUGCCUGCAGGUGCAAGGCCAUUCCUGAAUUGGACCUAAAACUGCUUUUCUUUUUUCCUUUGAAUUAAAAAAAAAAAGUGAAAUUGUUGCGGUUUAAAAGUUCUCCUUGAGAUGUGGUUCACAGCGGUUACAAGGACGGGAAAUGGUUAAGAGCUGCUGCAUGCACGGACGAUGGCUGGACACAGAAUCAGGACCUCACCGCACAUGCUGGGAAAACGCUCCAGCACUGAGCCACAGCCCUGGACCCCGGAGGCCAGGCUUAAGGAUUGCAGAGAGAGCCAGGGCAGGAGACGUGCUGAGGCCAGCAUCUCGGCAGGAGCACAGCCUGGGAGGAACACCAUGCGGUUUUGCACACUCAGCAUCAGGUGGGCAGAGCAGAGACAGCCAAGGUAGAAUUAGCCUGGGAGGAGGAGGUGCAGACAGCUCUGAGCAGCCUGGAUGGCUGCACGCCUGCCUCAACAGAGCGAGGGCAGAGGCGGAGGGCCGUCUGAGGCGCAGGAAGGUGCACAUAAGGAAGGGGGCCGACACGGGUGUGCGUCUGGAGGCAGAGCCCUGGGGACUAUCCUCAACAUACCUGCGCUGGUGAGGGCCUCGACCACCAUGCUAGGAGAGGAGACUCGGAAGAUAAAGCAGUCACUCUUUCCCUGAGAGGAGGUCUCCACAGGGUUCACAAGGACAACCUUGCAUUUCCAACCCUCCUGCCUUCACUCCCGAGGCAAGGAGUCUGCAGGAACACCCUCACGUGGCAGGCGGAGCAUCAUGCUUGAAUCGAUCAGCUCUAGAGCACACAACCCUCAGAGCUGGGGAGCUGUGAACAGCCCAACGGGUGGGCACAAGCACGGUUAGCACACCUCUGUGCAAGGCUGCCGCACUGGGGAAUCCAUCCAUCACAACGUGGCACACCUCCAGAGCUUGGGAAGAAUGCCCUGUGGGCUGUCUGCUCAGUGCCGGGACGUGUACGUGCAAGACAGCUGCAAUGGGCAUAUUAGACAACUUCUGUCCAAACCAGGAAGGGCACCAGGUGCAGACACAGGCUGAAAGAUCGCAAAUACUCAGGCCCUCCACGUCUACUCUCCAGGCAACCUCAAAGGUUGGCCCCCAGAUUGCUCGCAGCCUCCAUUUCUGACUCUGACCACUGACAGGCUACCUUCUGUGGUCACAGAGGGCAACAAGGGCAGCGAAUGCUCAGGCAACAGACUGGGGCUGGAAGAGGCUUCUGCAUAUCCACCAGCUUCAUGUUGGAUGUAAGGAUUGCUAUCAGGGAUUGUUCCAAGGUUUCAGAGCUAAUAAAGAGAAGAUAGCCAGGCAGAGAAAGGAAGAGGCAGAUACACAGCGCUGGGGCAGAGGACACACAGCUUUGCAGCCACUUGCCAAGUGAAAAAAAUGUCAAAGAGGCCACUGCCCACCCAGAGCUCAAAGGAGAUGUUAAGACACACAAACUUGGGAGCCCUCUGCUUACCCUGGGAACCUGAAGGCUCUGCUCCAGAUGAACCCAGCACAAGGAAGAAAACAACAUGGAUAGGGGAGAAGGGACAGGUCCUGCAGACCCCCAGGACUAGAGAGCUAGAUGAUGACACGGGAUGAGAAAGGAAGUGAGCAGAGCAGGCCACAAGCAGGUGGGCUCAGCAUAGGCUAGAAAGAGCAAGAACAGCCAUGGAAGCUACAGAAUGGAGACUGCUGGUGGGCUUGGCAGAGCAGGGGCAUGGAGACUUUGUGAAAGGGUUCCAGGAAAAACGGGGAGUCAGAACCCCCUGGUUCAUUCAGGAGGAGGUCUGACAUGCACACGGCUCCAGGUUCCACCCUCAGCAACACAUAAAGGAGGCGGUACACAGCCAUCAUCCCAGAGCUCGGGAGGGAGAGACAGGAAGAUCAGAUAUUCAAGGUCAUUCAUGGCUACACGGGAAAUUGGAGUCUAGCCUGGUCUACAUAAGACUGGAAGGGGUGUGUGCAAAAAUGGAGACAGCAAAGAGUUUGCUGUGAAAAGAAGGAAAAAGCAGGGAGGUGGAAGGUGAGGAGUAGCCAGGGGAAGUUUCUCCACGACGGAGGACACUAGUAGGAUUCAGGACAGCGGAGCUAAUCAGCCAGGAAAGAUGCAAGGGAUGGAGAAAGAACCAUUAGUGAGGUCCGGAGCAGGCCAACAAGAACCUGAGCGGCCCCAAGACAACCACCCCCUACUGAAACAGGACCCGGGACAAAACCAAACAAGCCUGAAGGCCAAGAGCAGGUCUCACAGCUAUUUAACUAGGAUGGGAAAUUCAUCUUUUUGUUUCUAGAUGGGCUAUUAUUAAACACACAUCAGAAGAAAGCCAUACACUGCUUCAGUUAUGUAGGACAUCAGGCUUCUAGACACUUCCUUAAAAGUCCUUUGAGAGGACAAAACAAUUACUUUAUAUACUAAUUCAUGGCUUGAUAAAAACACAUUUUGGAAUAAGGUCUACUUGAUCACAUUAAAUGUAAGAGAUGCAGGGCCUCCGAUGGCAUAGAUAAAAGCACCACACUGAUUCGAGUGCCACAAAGCCUGUCUUCCAGGACAUGGUGUGAUAGCAUUUAUUUACCCUGGCAUUAUUAGAAAGUGAAUAGUCACUAGCCUUCAAUUUUCACGCCAAUUGCACGAAAGAGAUUCCAUUUUCUACAGCAUCUUGGAUUGAAAUUGACUUAGCAUCUCAGAACUGUCAAAAAAAUUCCUCUUAAAGAAAUGGUUUGCUCUAUAGAGACGAUAAGGCAGGUGUCACCCUCCCCAGGUGGACAUGCUAUAUUCACACUGUAGAUGCGCAGAGAAUAGCAGCUGCCAGCUCUGUGCCACCUCUACACGCAGGCAUCCAUACUGCAGGUGUUAGAGGACCCCAUUUAAACAUUUUAAUGAGAAGGACACUUGGAAAAUACACAUCCAAAGACUGAGCUUAUCAUUGCUAACAGGUCAACCUGACACUUGCCUUCCAGGGCUAAGAAACAGGAAACCCUCUUCUGGUUUGAAUUCAAAGCAGCACAUGCUAACUCACCCUUGAGAUUUAUAGAUCCAGAGCUUAGUUCAAGGAAACCUCCCAGGCGUGAGCAAUUAUAAAAGAAGGUCAUUCUCUGUCACAGUAACAAUAAAAACAAACAAAAAAAAACUACAGCAAAAAAUGUCUCU